rnacentral:rRNA from 1 species
UACGUAGGGUGCAAGCGUUAAUCGGAAUUACUGGGCGUAAAGCGUGCGCAGGCGGUUAUGUAAGUCAGAUGUGAAAUCCCCGGGCUCAACCUGGGAACUGCAUUUGUGACUGCAUAGCUUGAGUACGGUAGAGGGGGAUGGAAUUCCGCGUGUAGCAGUGAAAUGCGUAGAUAUGCGGAGGAACACCGGUGGCGAAGGCAGUCCCCUGGACCUGUACUGACGCUCAGGCACGAAAGCGUGGGGAGCAAACAGG